AAAAAUUAAGGUAAUCUAGGGAAAAAUUUCAUCAUCUGAAUAAAAUCGACUCGAUUAUUCGCAGUUUAUUGGAAUGGCCAUGUUUAAUUAUUUCUAAUCGUUAAGAUUUUUGAGUUUAAUAAAUCGAUUUUCUUAGAUAUUCUUACAUUAUUUUGAACUGGGUAGAGUGACGUCUUACUGUUGAUUGUUUACACCCGUUGACUGUUACUUUUCUUGUAAUGACAGUUUUGCCAGUUGCACCCUUUGAUAUCAGUGAAAACAUUACUUUAAAACUGCUGGAUUAUCGGAUAAUCUUUCUUUUUUCUAAGCUUCUAAAGUGACUCUAUUAUUGUUAAAACCAUGGAUCCGUCAAAGGUAUGUUGAGUUUUCACAGAAGCUACAGACAGCAAACAAGAUGGAACAAAAAGUAGGAACCAGUUAAUGAUGACCACAAGGAAUACCACAGAAGCUGUGUCAACCUAUGCUAAUGAGUGUGUAAAGCAAAAAUAUUUGGACCGCAGUUUCUUUUACCAUAAAAAUAUAUACAAGGCCAACGAUACUUUGAAUAAUGAGUAUCAGUUAAUUUAUUAAAAUUACUUUUACAAUUCAAAUAUAUGGAAAUCAAAAACAUUAUAUGGGCUUUGGAAUCUGAUGGUAAAGCCAAUUAGAUGUAAUCUAUUUCCUAUUCGGACACUCAUUUGUGGUUUCACUAUUUUCCUAUGCAAGAAAAGUACACCAUUCCCUUUGGCUAUUUGAAGACGAUCCACUCUUAUAGGAUAUCUACUUCUGCUGUUGGAUUACGUUUUAUUUCUACCUACACCAUACACGGUCGCCAUUCUUAAGUAAUCUUAUUAGGCUGCCAUAUUCAAAUUUAUGCUCACCUAACAGUCAAUUAUCUGGAUUAUAGUGAAUUCCAGGUAUAGUUAUUGAAAUUUCAGAUGUAAAUGUUUAUUGCAAAUCUCCGAGACUUUAUGGAUAAAGAUAACGUAUUUGGUGAAGUGGCCCUUUCUUUACACUAAAUCUAACGAGUUUUGUAUUACCUGUUCAUGAACUUAGUCAAUUCUCUUGUCUGGGAGCUAAUAUUAGUCUAAUGCAUUUGAAACACUGUAAACAUCGGUAGACAACCAUUCGGACCAUUAUGCUUUUGAUCAAUCUUUCUUUCUCCACUGUCUUCAUAUUGUGUGAAAAAACAUAGACCCAGGCAAAAAGGAAGAAAAAAAAUGUUUUGUUGCUUGUCAAAGUUGGCUCCUUAAUUGCUAGUUGAUCAAGGAAGAAGUAGGAGGAGGGAUGGAAGAAAGAGAAAGUAAAAUUACACAUCAUCAUCAUCAUCAUCAUCAUCAACAGCAUCAUCAUAGUCAUCCUCAUCAAUAUCGAGCUUAUCUCAGCCUCUUUGGAGCUUCUGGUAAUCACUUCACCUUAAAAUGGUUACCCUUUCAUUAUUAGUACCACCAUCAUUACCUGACCACUUUACUUUCGGACUCGUUUUUAUUCUUCUUUUCACAUCCUCGUCUUCUUUUGUCCUCUCUGUAUGUUCAAAUGUUACUCACAGUUAAUGAGUUCUUAACUGUGUACCUUGUAUUUAAAUUAACCAUGAACCAAGUCGAAGAGAGAGGGAGAGAAAGAAACAAAACAAAAAACAAAAAGACUGGCACCAUAGAAGUGAAUCUGAAAAUUUGAUUCUGACAAUUUAAACAAAUAAUUUAUGAUGCAUUUGAAAAAAAUUUAGAUCGCUUUUUUAACUGUUUCAAAAAAAGGUUAAAUUGCCUCAUAAGCAAGUUGAAGUAGCUAUUAUUGAACAUCUUUUUUUCACUUGAAUUUCAUCUUGGGCUGAUCAUAGUGCAAGGAGUCAAAGUAAAAAGCUCAGGAAAAACGCUUGCAGUGUUUAAUUGAUGUUGAUGGAUUGCACUUUAUAUAAAUAUUUGUGAAUUUUAACUUCUAGUUACUCUCCAUUUAUCAGCUAUUUUCUCAAGCUAACUUCACUUGUUGGAGGAGGAAUCAACUGUCAAGUCAACCUCUAAAAGUUCCGGGUCAUCUAUUUUUCUCUCUUCAUCUUUAUCGUCUCUUCUUUUUACUCCAGUGUAAAGGUUUACCUUAAUAUAAAUGGGGUGUUUCAUUACAAAGGUGGGGUGUAAUUAAGUAUAUCACGACUUGGAUCACGAUCUGGUGUAGUUUCUCUCACUUUUCACUUACUCCUGCUCACCGAUCAUCAGCAUUAGUUUACUGGUUUACCUGAAGACAACAACAGCAACAACAAUAACAUUACCGUCGUAUUGACCAGAAGAACAGCAAGAAGACAAGCAAAAAAAAGAGGAAAAUGACCCUCUUUUUCUAGGUUUGACAGUAAGGUUUUGCUGAUGUCUUCAGGUAAACCAGUAAACUAAUGCUGAUGAUCAGUGAGCAGGAGUAAGUGAAAAGUGGAAGAUGGCAAAAAUGGCAGAAAGAAAAAGAAAGAGAAGAUAAAUUAUUUGGAACUUAAAAUGUAUAUUCAUUUUCAGAAUGUGGACCCACCUACACCAAAUCGUGAUUCAAGUCGUGAUAUCCUUAAUCACACCCUACCUUUGCAAUGAAACACCCCAAAUAUACAAAAGUAAACCUUUACACUGGAUGAUGAUGAAAAUGAUGAGUAGAAAGAAGAAGAAAGAAAGAGAGAGAAAUAGAUGACCCGGAACUUUAGGGGUUGGCUUGUCAGUUGAUUCCUCCUCCAACAAGUGAAGUUAAAGCAACUGAUAAAUGAAAAGUUGCCAGAUUAACAAGUGCACAUUCAGUUUGAUUUUCAAUUAAGUCGACGGAAAGCUUGGAGAGAAGUUAAUUAUCUCGUUUAUCAUGUUAAUACAAUCAGGAAACUUGAUUUGAUUACAUUGUAUUAUGAUAAGGCCUAAUACCUUUUUGUUUGCCUGGUGAGAAGCUGAAGAAAGAUAAAUAUGUUUGCAGUUAAAUUGAAAAUGAUUGAAGAAGCCCUUAUUGGAAUGAGCAAACAAUUGAAAUUACACUUAAAUCGCAAUCCAUAUUCAUUGUCUCUCUCCUUGACUCAAAUGAUUUGACCUUUACCUUUGACCUGACUUAAAAUUUGAGUAAAUUGUUUGGAAACAUGCAACAAAUCCUUCAGCAUAUGGGUACUUAUAAGUGAACAGUAAUCACAAUUAAAAUCACUCAAAUACAAAUGGAAAUGGAAUUGUAAUCAAUAAGGUCAAUAAGGAAAAGGUCAAAUCGUUUGUAAAAAUGUUAACAUUUGGCACUCUUGUUGUUGAUACUUCAAUUAUUCAUUUCAAUUGUGAAACUACUCUGCUAACCAUUUACCGAUGAAUAUGGAUGUGGAAUUGAUUAACAUGGUUAAUAAGCUGGAUUGCACUGAAUCUUUCGUGUUACCCGUUUCCGGAAUUUAUUCAAUGAACCUCAAUAUCAUUCGUAAACUAAAUUAAAUGCUACAUUCUUGGUUAAUGUUACAAAUGUUGUUGAUUGUUGUGAUUUGUUUUUUGCUUCAAAUAAUCACUUGAAUGAUAUUUAUUUAAUGCUAAUUUUGACACAUCAAUCAUUGGGAAAGACCUUGAUUAAGUCGUACCUUUAGUAUCCAUUUCAACAUUUCAAAGGCAUUUCAUUAUAUGAUUAAUAUGCUUCAAGAUUGAGUUUAUUGUCAACAAUGGCUACGGAUGGAAAAGUAUUUCACCUGAAUAUCAGGUGAUUCAAUAUAAUUGAAAGUGUUAGCAAUUGCUAUUUGAUUAUAGCUAUCUAUUUACCUUGUUAACCAUUUGAAACUUAUUUGACUCCUAUUGAGCCCAUAACAAGCAAAUUGAAAGAAUGAAAAGUAAUUUAAUAACCAAAAUGAAGAGCAAUAAAAUAACGAUGAUCAUUAUUACAUUGAUAAUGUUACAUGAUCAACUCGAGUGGAAACGUUUUCACACCACAAUUGGCAACAAUAAUACAAACCACAAUAACAAAUGGACAGAACAAAAUUAAGGCCUAAAGCAAAACAUAUUUAACUGAUUACAAAAAAAAGCAGAACAAAGCUAUUUUCAAUGUUCACAUGCAAUGUUACAAGUAGAAAUAUAUAUUGUUGAUACUUUGAGCUGUUGUUGUUCCUGUUGUAACUGAUGAUGAUG